rnacentral:lncRNA from 1 species
UAUAUAUGUAUAUAUAUAUAUAUAUAUAUAUAUACGCGAGCAACGCACCAUGCGAGUCCCGAUAUAUCCAGCAGACCACCCGAGACCCACCAUAACCAAAGUGUAUAAUUAGAUUUUUAUUAUAGAAAAAUAAACAAUAUAAUAUGAACUUUUAUGGGCCCCAGAGAGGGGUAAGAAAAAUCUUUUAGUUUAAUAAAUCUAUACGGAGCAUACCGUGCGAGUCCCACUUACAAGUCAAGAGGACAUGCGAGUCCCGCCAGUUAUACAUGGCACACUCAGCAAACAAUAUGAGACCCAGCGAUGUUGCCACAACGCUGGGUCUCGUAUUGUUUGCCGAAUCUUUUAGGUACUCCCCGGUUUUUAUAUUUCACCUCGAAUUUAACAGUUUUGUUUCAGCGGUUGCUAUUUUAAUUCUUGUGAAUAGUAAGGGCGGACGUAAAAUAGUGAUUUUAGGCGCAAGGAUAAAUAUUAGGUACCUAUGGAAAAUAGAUCGAAAAAAUUUUUGAAACGCGUUGGACGAAAAUAAUAAAAAAGAAGAUUAUUCAAAUGCAAAUAAGAUGGGGAAAUCUUAUUUUGGGCCGCCUAGCAAAACGAAACACAAUGCGAAAAAAAAACUGAGCUUUUAGAGCUUAAUGUAAAGAUCUUAUCGAACGUUAACCUUAAAGAAAAAAUUGGUAACUACUUGCAAACUAUAACAACUCACUUUUUUUUUAAUGUCAAGAAAAUAAAAUAGAUGAAUCAACAUUAUCUGAAAGUAAAAAUAACGUAGAGACUCCAUUUAAUAAAUAUGAUAAAGAAAAAAAACAGGACCAUUUAAAUCCCAAAGCAAAUAUUUUACUGGAACCAGAUGUUAAACUUAAUGAUAAUAUUGAUAACGACUCACAACCUUUAAACAAAACCUUGGA